GCCGGGCGUGGUGGUGCACACCUGUAAUCCCAGCGGCUCAGGAGGCUGAGGCAGGAAGAUCGAAAGUUCAAAGCCAGCCUUGGCAACAAUUAAGCUCUAAGCAACUCAGUAAGACCCUGUCUCUA
rnacentral:sRNA from 1 species